UACGGAGGGGGCUAGCGUUGUUCGGAAUUACUGGGCGUAAAGCGCGCGUAGGCGGCUUUGUAAGUUAGAGGUGAAAGCCCGGAGCUCAACUCCGGAAUUGCCUUUAAGACUGCAUCGCUAGAAUCAUGGAGAGGUUAGUGGAAUUCCGAGUGUAGAGGUGAAAUUCGUAGAUAUCGAGAGGAACACCUGCGGCGAAGGCGGGUAGCUGGGCCGACACUGACGCUGAGGCGCGAAAGCCAGGGGAGCGAACGGG
rnacentral:rRNA from 1 species